rnacentral:lncRNA from 1 species
GAGCCUUUGGAGCCUUAUUUGGAAGGGAAACUCGCCAAGUCUCAGCCUUGUGAGUCAGCCAUCAGGAAUGCCUCCAACAUUUCAUAACAAAUAAAAUAAGGCCUCCAUAUUAACAGUAUUCGCUUGUCUGGCCUGCACAAACCUAGCGGCUCAGCACAGCCACCGGCAGCCCCUCCAGCACCGCUGACGCCUGAGCCAGUGCCCACAGCCCAUGUAAGAACCAGAACUAAGUACGACUUGGGAGGCAGGUCUGCCCUGGGAAACUCACUCGGGCUCCUGACAGUUUCUCACAGACAACACAGAGGAAGAAGGGCUGAGCCUGGAGUCAGGCUGAGCACUGGCCUCUGCCAUGGCUAACCCCAAGACUAUCUGAAAGAGACAGACUCCCUCUAGGGGACAAGGGCCACCUCUUCCUACUCCUGAAGCCUAUAGGGAGGCAGGAGCAAGAGAAUCAGUUUUCUUGGACCACACCGUCAGUUGGAAGCCAGGCAGGCUACUGGAGACUGUUUCUGAAGGCCUCAGAGGGGCACCUGAGGCCUGGGUCUGUGGGCACAUGCCUGCUCUGGAAGGAAGAAAAGUGCUACGGAACGCAUGGUCAGUCCUGCCACACUGGUCUCCACCCGUCAAAAAAAGCAAGGGAGCAUCAAUGGUCCAGGCGCUGGAAACGAGAGCAGACACUCCAGAAAGGAGCUGACUUCAGAAGGAAAGACCCGGGAGAGGGAGCAGAGGAGCACGGGAGCCAUGAUCAGGCCCUGAGUUGGGAGGGCACUAGAAAGGGACAGGGCAUUUAUGUCAGAGACAAUGUGAUGGGGCCUUAAAGGGGGAGAGAGGCUUCGCUUCAGCCUGG